UACGUAGGGAGCAAGCGUUGUCCGGAAUCAUUGGGCGUAAAGCGCGCGUAGGUGGCUUCGUAAGUCCGUUGUGAAAGUCAAAGGCUCAACCUUUGAAAGCCGAUGGAUACUGCGGAGCUAGAGUACGGAAGAGGCGAGUGGAAUUCCUGGUGUAGCGGUGGAAUGCGCAGAUAUCAGGAGGAACACCCAUUGCGAAGGCAGCUCGCUGGGACGUUACUGACGCUGAGACGCGAAAGCGUGGGGAGCAAACAGG
rnacentral:rRNA from 1 species